rnacentral:lncRNA from 10 species
CUGGGUACCGGAGGGAGGGAGGCGGGCAGAGGAGGGGAGAUGGGCACCCCCAGUCUUUCCAUCCUCCUCAUUCGUCUAGGGGCACCCGAAUCCCCUAUUCCUUAUUUCCCCUAUCACUCAGGCACUGGCAGGGUCCUUUGCCCACUCCUGUUGGCCGCUGCGGCUCCAAAGCGAGCUGGGCAGAUGUGCCUGAGACAGGUUUGACCAGGCAACUGAAAAGACAUCCCUAAGAGAAGACAAAGCAAAGGUAUGAAAGGAACACACGUCCCUGACUGACUAGGAGGAACAGAGCUGCCUGCUAUCUGGAACAACUUCCUCCCAGACUAAGGUUUCCCAGAGGAAGAGAGAGAAUUUGGACAAAUGAAUGAGGAACAAUGCUCUCCUGAGAGUUUCUUUAAGGGGCGAGGGUCACUGCCACUAGCUCCUUUGAAAGCAGAAUUAAGAGGCAGUGCAGGAAGGCACAGCAGGAAGGCUUAUGGUUAGACUACAGAGAAGGAAACAGCCACUGCUGGGGACCUACCCUGUGCUGGUCACUGACAAGCUGUCUCAUUAAACCUUCCCAGACCCUCAACCCCUCCUAGUAUCUUAUCCUCAUUUUACAGAUGAGAAGACUGUGGCCCAGAGAGGUAAAGAUCUGGGGAGCAGGAUGGGAGCUUCACUUUGUCUCAGUUGCUCUGGCAAAGAGAAGCCUCACCUUGUGAUCAAGGGAUUGGGAGGGUGACAGAUAAAUUUUGGCUUAAGUGUCAGCAUAGCACUGGGAAUCUGGAGCUAGAUGGCACUGGCUUGACUCCUUGGAUCUGCCUCUUACUGGCUGUGUGAUACUGGGCAUGCCUCUGUUUCCCCAUCUAUAAAAAUGGGGCUAAUGAUAACAACACCUGCCUUACAGGUUGUGUAGAAGGUUGAAUUUGUAGUUGUGAGGUGCCCAGGAACAGUGCUGGCACACAGUGAGCGCCAUACACAAGUGUUAAAGAAUGGAGCCUCCUGCUCUCUCCUUAUUUUCCA